AGUGAACGCUGGCGGUAGGCUUAACACAUGCAAGUCGAAGGGCAGCCCAGUAAGAGCUUGCUCUGACGGUUGCCGAGUGGCGGACGGGAGAGGAAUACAUCGCAAUCUACAUUUUCGUGGGAGAUAACGUAGGCAGACUUAAGCUAAUACCGCAUACGACCUACGGGUGAAUCAAGGGGAACUUCGGACCUUGCGCGCUUGAAUAAGCCGAUGCUGGAUUAGCUAGUUGGCGGGGUAACGGCCGACCAAGGCGACGAUCCGUAGCUGGUCUGAGAGGAUGAUCGGCCACACUGGAACUGAGACACGGUCCAGACUCCUACGGGAGGCAGCAGUGGGGAAUAUUGGACAAUGGGCGCAAGCCUGAUCCAGCCAUGCCGCGUGGGUGAAGAAGGCCUUCGGGUUGUAAAGCCCUGUUGUUGGGAAAGAAAAGCAGUGGGAUAAUACCUGGCCGUUCUGACGGUACCUAAAGAAUAAGCACCGGCUAACUUCGUG
rnacentral:rRNA from 1 species